UACGAAGGGUGCAAGCGUUGUUCGGAUUUAUUGGGCGUAAAGCGCGCGCAGGCGGAUGUGCAAGUCAGAUGUGAAAUCUCGGGGCUCAACCCCGAAACUGCGUCUGAAACUGUUCAUCUAGAAUCAUAUAGGGGGUAGGGGAAUUUCACAUGUAGGGGUAAAAUCCGUAGAGAUGUGAAGGAACACCGGAGGCGAAAGGC
rnacentral:rRNA from 1 species